rnacentral:rRNA from 1 species
CACCGCGGUUAUACGAGGGACCCAAGUUGAUAGCCUCCGGCGUAAAGCGUGGUUAGGUUAAAAUCAAUGCUAAAGCCGAACGUAUCCAAAGCUGUUAUACGCACCCGAAUAAUAGAAGCCCAAUUACGAAAGUAGCUUUAUAUUUACUGAACCCACGAAAGCUAGGGCA